GAUUAACGCUAGCGGUAGGCCUAACACAUGCAAGUCGAACGGUAACAGAGAGAGCUUGCUCUUUGCUGACGAGUGGCGAACGGGUGCGUAACACGUAUGCAACUUACCCUGUACUAAGGAAUAGCCCAGAGAAAUUUGGAUUAAUACCUUAUAAUAUCACGGAAUCUCAUGAUUCUGUGCUUAAAACUCCGGUGGUACAGGAUGGGCAUGCGGCCCAUUAGUUUGUUGGUGAGGUAACGGCUCACCAAGACUACGAUGGGUAGGGGGUCUGAGAGGAUGAUCCCCCACACUGGUACUGAGACACGGACCAGACUCCUACGGGAGGCAGCAGUGAGGAAUAUUGGUCAAUGGACGAAAGUCUGAACCAGCCAUACCGCGUGCAGGAAGACGGCCCUACGGGUUGUAAACUGCUUUUGUUUGCCAAGAAACCUCCCCACGUGUGGGGAGCUGACGGUAGCAUUCGAAUAAGGACCGGCUAACUCCG
rnacentral:rRNA from 1 species